CAAGCAUUAUAAUAAAAUUGUUAAAAUUAAACAGGACAAAGCAGUUAUGGUUGUAGUUAGUAGGCUUGUCUAAACAGAUGAGUUUUGAGUUUAGACUUGAAAUCAGUGAGUGAAGUGGUAUUGCGGAGGUCUGGGGGGAGAGUGUUCCAGAGCUGGGGAGCAGAGCGGCUGAAUGCCCUGCUCCCCACAGUGACAAGACGGGUGGGGGGGGACGGAAAGCUGGUGGGAGGAAGCGGAGCGGAGGGAACGGGCAAGUGAGUUGAUGUGGAUGAGGUCAGUCAAGUACGGGGGGGCAAGGUUGUGGAUGGCUUUAAAUGUGAGGAGCAGAAGUUUGUAGUGGAUGCGGUGAGAGAUGGGGAGCCAGUGAAG